UAGAGUUUGAUCAUGGCUCAGGAUGAACGCUGGCGGCGUGCUUAACACAUGCAAGUCGAACGGAACUGUCAUUUUUGAAGCAAUUAGCUUGCUAAGGGUGGAAAUGUUGGCAGUUUAGUGGCGGACGGGUGAGUAACGCGUGGGUAACCUGCCUUACACAGGGGGAUAACACCUGGAAACAGGUGCUAAUACCGCAUAACAGGAAGAGGCGCAUGCCACUUUCUUGAAAACUCCGGUGGUGUAAGAUGGACCCGCGUCUGAUUAGCUGGUUGGCGGGGUAACGGCCCACCAAGGCGACGAUCAGUAGCCGGCCUGAGAGGGUGGACGGCCACAUUGGGACUGAGACACGGCCCAAACUCCUACGGGAGGCAGCAGUGGGGAAUAUUGGACAAUGGGGGGAACCCUGAUCCAGCGACGCCGCGUGAGUGAAGAAGUAUUUCGGUAUGUAAAGCUCUAUCAGCAGGGAAGAAAGAAAUGACGGUACCUGACUAAGAAGCCCCGGCUAACUACGUGCCAGCAGCCGCGGUAAUACGUAGGGGGCAAGCGUUAUCCGGAUUUACUGGGUGUAAAGGGAGCGUAGACGGUGAUGCAAGUCUGAAGUGAAAGGCGGGGGCUCAACCCCCGGACCGCUCUGGAAACUGCCCGGCUGGAGUGCGGGAGAGGUAAGCGGAAUUCCUAGUGUAGCGGUGAAAUGCGUAGAUAUUAGGAGGAACACCAGCGGCGAAGGCGGCUUACUGGACCGUGACUGACGUUGAGGCUCGAAAGCGUGGGGAGCAAACAGGAUUAGAUAC
rnacentral:rRNA from 1 species